UGCCUCAUCAGAUGACACCUAUGGGACCACUAACCAGCCCCAUCAAGUAAGACCAUGAAGCAAGCUCUACUCAACAAAUUUUGAACUCUGCUCAUGGACCCUCUGAUGAAUUUGGUUGACAGAAACCAAUUAGAAACCCACUGUGUGUGCGUGUGUGUACUUGAUUACAUUCUGAGUACAAAUCUUACUUAGGUCCAUUUUGUCUUUCAUUUCUCAAAGGAUUGUACCACUUUCUCUUAGUUAUUCCAAACCCACUCCUUUUCCCAUUACCUUUGCUGUGUCCAGUUCUCCUCCCCUUUCCCCAGACCCCAUACAACCCACUAACCCAGUCCUUUCCCAGGACAUCCUUCUGGAACUACUUCCUUGCUCAGGUCUUUCCUUUCAUGUCCUAUGUACUCUUACAUUGGUUCAAGAUAAUGAUUAAUGGUUUUGGUAUGACAGGUAUUAGAGGGUUUGCAAAGGCUUAAGAACACUGCCCCUUCUUCCAGAUACAGUAAGUAU